rnacentral:sRNA from 1 species
AGUAGUGUGAUAAACUGUAAAUAACGUUGAACUCGCGGGUUUUCCGGAUUGCCUCUAUACAUAUGAUAAAGUUUCUUCAAGAUAUCCAAACGAUUUUUAACACAUCUCCAACUCAAAUUUUUUUCAUAGUCGCAGCAAUACGGUCGAGCGUCGAGUCUGCUGGAUUUUGUUUACGCUUUCUGUUCCUGCUUACAUUUUUCACUUGAGUGUGUGUGGAAGAUCUCUCUUGUGAUGCAAAUGGCGGAUCCGAGUUAGCUGAAGUUGGAGAAUUUUCCAUCGGGGUUUGUGACAUCCAAUCUGGGGUUGGUGGUCUCAUAUGAUCACGUUCACGAUUUUGCAUCAGAUCUUCUCUCUCAUCUCCAUUAUUGUUUGGACAUUCACUGUCGCUUAAGUCCAGUACUGGAGCACGACGAUGUACACCACGUCUUGGUUGCCAUGACUCUUCAACGACAACAGUUUCAUCUCGGAAGACUACAUCAAGAAGUGGUAUAAACCGCAGUGGAUGCGACCGAAGUUUAGCAGCUUCAGGAUAAGCCCAAUAAACCAAAAACAAAAGCCAAUCAAAAUAAGAAUAUAAAAUAAGAAAUUAACAUAUACAUAUGUGAUAACAUACCUUAAUUUUAUCUUUCCACCAAUGAUCAGGGGCAUCAAGACUUCCUGUCCUUUGAUUAGUUCCGAGACCAGUUGAC